GAGGAUGAAAUGAAACAUAUAUUUGGCAGUUAAUUGAUACUACCACUAGUAUUUAAGCAUCUCAUCUAACACUCUUUCUUACAGGGUUGGAACUUGAAGCCAAGAAGACAAAUGUGGUGACGUUCAGUUUAAAGCUGAUGAGCAGUUGUAACUAGACUUUUUGUUUGCAUAGUCACAUGAAUGUAUGAUGAAGCAGCAGGAUUUCGGAUAACAUCGCGCUGAUGUUUACUUCCUCCCUGUGUCUCUGCAUGUGUGCAAAGUUACACACCCCCCCUGGUCGUGGACUCAUGGUUAAUAUCCUUAAUUUCCUUAGUAUCCCCAACGCCUAGUGCCCUUUGUCUAGUGUCGUCUAGGUACUGCCUGGUUUUGUAGCAUAAGAGUUGAGGUGGGUCGACCGUAAAGAAAAUUUUGUUGUUUCUGCCUUUAUACUUAUUUUUUCUGGGGUGUCGUCUGCUAUGCCCCUUCCUCUCAUGGUUGUCACUUGUAAGAUAUUUAUUCAAACAAUUUGAGAUGGUUCUUUGAAAAGCCUCAAUUCGAGAUUGCUGAGUGUC
rnacentral:lncRNA from 1 species